UAUGCUUGAGAGACCACAGACUUGCCAUUUGGUAUAUGUUUGUCCACAGGUGAUAUAAUCCUGUGAUUCAGUCACCUGUGAUUGAAUAUAGUCGGGCCUAUUUCAUACGUCGAAUUUAAUUCAGACGAAUUUAAUUCGUUAUUAAAUUCGUCAAUUGGUGGACAUUAAAAUGGUUUUAAAGGACGAAUUUAAUUCAAACGAAUGCAUUUCAUGACUAGCAAUCAUGGUACCCAGAAGUAAAAACCACGAGAUCCGAAAGAGAGAAAUAGACUUUAUGCAUUUAAUAUUAACAUAAUUUAUGCAUUUAAUUCGACACGACGAUAAGCUAGACGUCGUAUGAAACUAAGACGCAC